ensembl:snRNA U6 U6 spliceosomal RNA
AUGCUCAUUUUGGCUGCACAUAUACUAAAAUUGGAAUUAUACAGAGUAGAUAAGCAUGGCCUCUGGGCAAAGGUAGCAUGGACAUUUCUGAAGCAUUCCACAGUUCU